UCGGUAAUAGUUUAGUGGCUAGAAUUUCCGCCUGUCAAACGCGGGGGACCGGGGUUCAAUUCCCCGUUACCGAG
rnacentral:tRNA from 1 species